UGGGGAAUAUUGCACAAUGGGCGCAAGCCUGAUGCAGCCAUGCCGCGUGAGUGAAGAAGGCCUUCGGGUUGUAAAGCACUUUCAGCGGGGAGGAAGGCGAUAAGGUUAAUAACCUCAUCGAUUGACGUUACCCGCAGAAGAAGCACCGGCUAACUCCGUGCCAGCAGCCGCGGUAAUACGGAGGGUGCAAGCGUUAAUCGGAAUUACUGGGCGUAAAGCGCACGCAGGCGGUCUGUCAAGUCGGAUGUGAAAUCCCCGGGCUCAACCUGGGAACUGCAUUCGAAACUGGCAGGCUUGAGUCUUGUAGAGGGGAGUAGAAUUCCAGGUGUAGCGGUGAAAUGCGUAGAGAUCUGGAGGAAUACCGGUGGCGAAGGCGGCCCCCUGGACAAAGACUGACGCUCAGGUGCGAAAGCGUGGGGAGCAAACAGG
rnacentral:rRNA from 1 species